AUGCGACAGAUAAAGCAGGAGUCCAAUCAAGACAACUUGCAACUUUGGCGUUGUCACAUUGGAGUCCGUGCUCAGCAGCAAUGGGAGACUGUCGUUGAUGCCCGACCCAUGAUGCCGACGAAGGAACGGGAGUCGAUGAGGAGUAGACGCCGUGGGUUUGUGAACUGGCCAAGCCACCGUUGUCCGUUUGGUAAUGCGACUUGCCCUGAUUUUGACGUCGUCUACCAACAUCCGACGAAGGGAACCCGUCCCGGUUUCCAUCUUGAUGGUAAGUUCUCUAAUCUUCUAUCUCAUGGGAUGUGA
rnacentral:rRNA from 1 species